AUACGUAGGGGGCGAGCGUUGUCCGGAAUGAUUGGGCGUAAAGGGCGCGUAGGCGGCCCGGUAAGUCUGGAGUGAAAGUCCUGUUUUUAAGAUGGGAAUUGCUUUGGAUACUGUCGGGCUUGAGUGCAGGAGAGGUAAGUGGAAUUCCCAGUGUAGCGGUGAAAUGCGUAGAGAUUGGGAGGAACACCAGUGGCGAAGGCGACUUACUGGACUGUAACUGACGCUGAGGCGCGAAAGUGUGGGGAGCAAACAGGAUUAGAUACCCUGGUAGUCCACGCUGUAAACGAUGAUUACUAGGUGUGGGGGGACUGACCCCUUCCGUGCCGCAGUUAACACAAUAAGUAAUCCACCUGGGGAGUACGGCCGCAAGACUGAAACUCAAAUGAAUUGACGGGG
rnacentral:rRNA from 1 species